GGCCGCGGGCGACUCCUGGUACCCCCGAGGCCCCGCGAACUCACCUUCACAAAGCUGUCGGCGUCCGGGAAGCCUGGCAGUACCAUCUCCCCGUCGGAUUUGGUCUCGCUGGUAGCCGACUGGACCCUGCACUCGCGGGUACUGGGCGGCGCCAUUUUUUCGGCCUGCACGGCUUAUCUCGCGAGAGCGUCUCGGUCGACGCGACGGGACCACGCAUGCGCCAGGUAAGCUCCUGAAGAAAGCGUCUAGCUCCCACUGUGUUUCCUCCCUCCAGUGCCCUCUGAACUCCUCCAAAAAGACGUUCUUUCCUGCGGACACUGCUGGAACCAUUCUGGUUAACACAGAGUGGGAACUCAAUACACAUUUGUGAAGUGAACUCCUGGAAAAGCUCUUGUGAGGGAGGCACCAAAUGAUCAGGCAGCUCAGGAGAUAGAUUCACUCUCCUGAAAUCAGAGAUGGGAUGCCCUUAAUACAAUUCAUUCCACCCAUUAAGUGUUCAAUAAAUGUUCAGCAUAUUCAGUUAUGAGAA